rnacentral:tRNA from 1 species
UAGUGGUAGCUCAAUGUAGUAGCAUUCUAUUGUUAAUAGAGAGGUAGUUUUUACUCCACUAAAG